rnacentral:lncRNA from 1 species
UGUCUACAUCCACGAUCCACGCCUAAACUAGGCGUCCACCCGCCACAAGGCACAACCAAAAUAAGCGUGUAAAAUUCAUUUGGGUGUGAAAAAGAAUUUUACACACCUAUUUUGGGCGUCCAAGUUGCGCAGCUCAGAAAAAAAACCAUAAAAUCCGAUUUCUAGGGGAUUUUAACAUAUAAUUGACAAAAUAAACUCACAAUAAUUGACAUGUAACUAAUUUAUAGUAGAAAUUACCUUUAAAUUUGGUGAGAUUUUGGAACUUGAGAUGGCUUUUGUGAGUUCUUGUAUGUUUUGGUGGUUUUGGGUGAGUUUAGAAAGAGAAAGUAAGGUAUAGAGUGAACAGUAUUCAUAAU